AACGCUAGCUACAGGCUUAACACAUGCAAGUCGAGGGGCAGCGCAGUGUAGCAAUACAUGGGCGGCGACCGGCGCACGGGUGAGUAACGCGUAUCCAACCUGCCCACCACUUGGGGAUAACCUUGCGAAAGUAAGACUAAUACCCAAUGAUAUCUCAAGAAGACAUCUGAAUGAGAUUAAAGAUUUAUCGGUGAUGGAUGAGGAUGCGUCUGAUUAGCUUGUUGGCGGGGUAACGGCCCACCAAGGCUACGAUCAGUAGGGGUUCUGAGAGGAAGGUCCCCCACAUUGGAACUGAGACACGGUCCAAACUCCUACGGGAGGCAGCAGUGAGGAAUAUUGGUCAAUGGACGAGAGUCUGAACCAGCCAAGUAGCGUGAAGGAUGACUGCCCUAUGGGUUGUAAACUUCUUUUAUACGGGAAUAAAGUGAGGCACGUGUGCCUUUUUGUAUGUACCGUAUGAAUAAGGAUCGGCUAACUCCGUGCCAGCAGCCGCGGUAAUACGGAGGAUCCGAGCGUUAUCCGGAUUUAUUGGGUUUAAAGGGAGCGUAGGCGGACGCUUAAGUCAGUUGUGAAAGUUUGCGGCUCAACCGUAAAAUUGCAGUUGAUACUGGGUGUCUUGAGUACAGUAGAGGCAGGCGGAAUUCGUGGUGUAGCGGUGAAAUGCUUAGAUAUCACGAAGAACUCCGAUUG
rnacentral:rRNA from 1 species